CCGGUUCGUUAAGCAUUCAACUUAAAACAAAUUUAUAAUACAAAUAAGAAAUUUGGCUCAGGAUUUUAUCUACCGAUUCUAUCGAAACCUCUUGCUGGUUCAUAGAGUGGGAGCACCGUAGAGUUUUUGAACAAACAGAACCAUGCAUGGACAAAGCCUGGAAUUUUGUCAGGAAUGCGAAAUGAAAUAUAUUAUUAUGAAUGCUAAAAUGCAAUUUCAACAUUAACUUAUAUUUUCUAGUUUUUAAAAGGAUUGAAUCGGGAAAAUUUUCUAUUUUGGGGUGAUGAGAAGCAUAGCACUUACCUGCCCUUGGUGUCGCCCCUGGAACUAUGAAAAACUGAAUAAUUUGUGCAUAGCUUGACUCGGCCUGGGAAGCACGCUACCACUUAAGCUCUCUCCUGAAUUGUUUUAAAUGCUAUUGUAAAUUCAGGGGGACAUACAAUUGGACAAGC
rnacentral:lncRNA from 1 species